rnacentral:rRNA from 1 species
GCAAGUCGAACGAGAACGGAUCCUUCGGGACCUGAGUAAAGUGGCGCACGGGUGAGUAACGCGUGGACAACCUACCCUUGAAUUUGGGAUAACCUCGCGAAAGCGGUGCUAAUACCGAAUAACAUCAAGAGUACUCAGGUAUUUUUGAUCAAAGAUGGCCUCUCCCUGGAAGCUAUUGUUUGAGGAUGGGUCCGCGUGCCAUUAGCUAGUUGGUGAGGUAAAGGCCUACCAAGGCAACGAUGGUUAGCUGGUCUGAGAGGAUGAUC